rnacentral:rRNA from 1 species
GAUGAACGCUGGCGGCGUGCCUAAUACAUGCAAGUCGAGCGAACGGACGAGAAGCUUGCUUCUCUGAUGUUAGCGGCGGACGGGUGAGUAACACGUGGAUAACCUACCUAUAAGACUGGGAUAACUUCGGGAAACCGGAGCUAAUACCGGAUAAUAUUUUGAACCGCAUGGUUCAAAAGUGAAAGACGGUCUUGCUGUCACUUAUAGAUGGAUCCGCGCUGCAUUAGCUAGUUGGUAAGGUAACGGCUUACCAAGGCAACGAUGCAUAGCCGACCUGAGAGGGUUAUCGGCCACCAUUGAACUGAGACACGGUCCAGACUCCUACGGGAGGCAGCAGUAGGGAAUCUUCCGCAAUGGGCGAAAGCCUGACGGAGCAACGCCGCGUGAGUGAUGAAGGUCUUCGGAUCGUAAAACUCUGUUAUUAGGGAAGAACAUAUGUGUAAGUAACUGUGCACAUCUUGACGGUACCUAAUCAGAAAGCCACGGCUAACUACGUG